CCUACGGGAUGCUGCAGUGGGGAAUUUUGGACAAUGGGCGCAAGCCUGAUCCAGCAAUGCCGCGUGCAGGAAGAAGGCCUUCGGGUUGUAAAUCUUGAGAACUGGGUACGCGGUACCUGAAGAAUAAGCACCGGCUAACUACGUGCCAGCAGCCGCGGUAAUACGUAGGGUGCGAGCGUUAAUCGGAAUUACUGGGCGUAAAGCGUGCGCAGGCGGCUUUGCAAGACAGAGGUGAAAUCCCCGGGCUCAACCUGGGAACUGCCUUUGUGACUGCAAGGCUAGAGUACGGCAGAGGGGGAUGGAAUUCCGCGUGUAGCAGUGAAAUGCGUAGAUAUGCGGAGGAACACCGAUGGCGAAGGCAAUCCCCUGGGCCUGACUGACGCUCAUGCACGAAAGCGUGGGGAGCAAACAGGAUUAGAUACCCGUGUAGUC
rnacentral:rRNA from 1 species